rnacentral:rRNA from 1 species
AUUGAACGCUAGCGGGAUGCUUUACACAUGCAAGUCGAACGGCAGCGCGGACUUCGGUCUGGCGGCGAGUGGCGAACGGGUGAGUAAUGUAUCGGAACGUGCCCAGUAGCGGGGGAUAACUACGCGAAAGCGUAGCUAAUACCGCAUACGCCCUACGGGGGAAAGCAGGGGAUCGUAAGACCUUGCACUAUUGGAGCGGCCGAUAUCGGAUUAGCUAGUUGGUGAGGUAACGGCUUACCAAGGCGACGAUCCGUAGCUGGUUUGAGAGGACGACCAGCCACACUGGGACUGAGACACGGCCCAGACUCCUACGGGAGGCAGCAGUGGGGAAUUUUGGACAAUGGGGGGAACCCUGAUCCAGCCAUCCCGCGUGUGCGAUGAAGGCCUUCGGGUUGUAAAGCACUUUUGGCAGGAAAGAAACGUCGCGGGCUAAUACCCCGUGGAACUGACGGUACCUGCAGAAUAAGCACCGGCUAACUACGUG